GGCUCAGGAUGAACGCUGGCGGCGUGCUUAACACAUGCAAGUCGAACGAUGAAGCCCAGCUUGCUGGGUGGAUUAGUGGCGAACGGGUGAGUAACACGUGAGUAACCUGCCCUUAACUCUGGGAUAAGCCUGGGAAACUGGGUCUAAUACCGGAUAGGAGCGUCCACCGCAUGGUGGGUGUUGGAAAGAUUUAUCGGUUUUGGAUGGACUCGCGGCCUAUCAGCUUGUUGGUGAGGUAAUGGCUCACCAAGGCGACGACGGGUAGCCGGCCUGAGAGGGUGACCGGCCACACUGGGACUGAGACACGGCCCAGACUCCUACGGGAGGCAGCAGUGGGGAAUAUUGCACAAUGGGCGAAAGCCUGAUGCAGCGACGCCGCGUGAGGGAUGACGGCCUUCGGGUUGUAAACCUCUUUCAGUAGGGAAGAAGCGAAAGUGACGGUACCUGCAGAAGAAGCACCGGCUAACUACGUGCCAGCAGCCGCGGUAAUACGUAGGGUGCGAGCGUUAUCCGGAAUUAUUGGGCGUAAAGAGCUCGUAGGCGGUUUGUCGCGUCUGUCGUGAAAGUCCGGGGCUUAACCCCGGAUCUGCGGUGGGUACGGGCAGACUAGAGUGCAGUAGGGGAGACUGGAAUUCCUGGUGUAGCGGUGGAAUGCGCAGAUAUCAGGAGGAACACCGAUGGCGAAGGCAGGUCUCUGGGCUGUAACUGACGCUGAGGAGCGAAAGCAUGGGGAGCGAACAGGAUUAGAUACCCUGGUAGUCCAUGCCGUAAACGUUGGGCACUAGGUGUGGGGACCAUUCCACGGUUUCCGCGCCCGCAGCUAACGCAUUAAGUGCCCCGCCUGGGGAGUACGGCCGCAAGGCUAAAACUCAAAGGAAUUGACGGGGGCCCGCACAAGCGGCGGAGCAUGCGGAUUAAUUCGAUGCAACGCGAAGAACCUUACCAAGGCUUGACAUGUUCCCGAUCGCCGUAGAGAUACGAUUUCCCCUUUGGGGCGGGUUCACAGGUGGUGCAUGGUUGUCGUCAGCUCGUGUCGUGAGAUGUUGGGUUAAGUCCCGCAACGAGCGCAACCCUCGUUCCAUGUUGCCAGCACGUAAUGGUGGACUCAUGGGAGACUGCCGGGGUCAACUCGGAGGAAGGUGAGACGACGUCAAAUCAUCAUGCCCCUUAUGUCUUGGGCUUCACGCAUGCUACAAUGGCCGGUACAAUGGGUUGCGAUACUGUGAGGUGGAGCUAAUCCAAAAAGCCCGGUCUCAGUUCGGAUUGGGGUCUGCAACUCGACCCCAUGAAGUCGGAGUCGCUAGUAAUCGCAGAUCAGCAACGCUGCGGGUGAAUACGUUCCCGGGCCUUGUACACACCGCCCGUCAAGUCACGAAA
rnacentral:rRNA from 1 species